rnacentral:rRNA from 1 species
GACGAACGCUGGUGGCGUGCCUAGUACAUGCAAGUCGAGCGAAUGGAUUAAGAGCUUGCUCUUAUGAAGUUAGCGGCGGACGGGUGAGUAACACGUGGGUAACCUGCCCAUAAGACUGGGAUAACUCCGGGAAACCGGGGCUAAUACCGGAUAACAUUUUGAACCGCAUGGUUCGAAAUUGAAAGGCGGCUUCGGCUGUCACUUAUGGAUGGACCCGCGUCGCAUUAGCUAGUUGGUGAGGUAACGGCUCACCAAGGCAACGAUGCGUAGCCGACCUGAGAGGGUGAUCGGCCACACGGGGACUGAGACACGGCCCAGACUCCUACGGGAGGCAGCAGUAGGGAAUCUUCCGCAAUGGACGAAAGUCUGACGGAGCAACGCCGCGUGAGUGAUGAAGGCUUUCGGGUCGUAAAACUCUGUUGUUAGGGAAGAACAAGUGCUAGCUGAAUAAGCUGGCACCUUGACGGUACCUAACCAGAAAGCCACGGCUAACUACGUGCCAGCCGCCGCCGUAA